rnacentral:rRNA from 1 species
GGAUGAAUAUUGGACAAUGGGCGCAAGCCUGAUCCAGCCAUGCCGCGUGCAGGAUGACGGUCCUAUGGAUUGUAAACUGCUUUUAUACGAGAAGAAACACUCCAACGUGUUGGAGCUUGACGGUAUCGUAAGAAUAAGGAUCGGCUAACUCCGUGCCAGCAGCCGCGGUAAUACGGAGGAUCCAAGCGUUAUCCGGAAUCAUUGGGUUUAAAGGGUCCGUAGGCGGUUUAGUAAGUCAGUGGUGAAAGCC